rnacentral:rRNA from 1 species
AUGCACCUACAAUGUCAGGAGAGGAGCAGGACCAAAAGGAGGGACGGAGCUCCCAUGUAUUCACUGGUGUCAAUUGACACCAGUGCCUUCUGGCUUUUCAGACGGACGCCCUCGUCUCUUCGCCUCCUCAUCUCGAUCCCUAACUCCGCAGCCGCCGCAGCGAAUCGGCGACGAACGACGGCGAACUCGACGCUGUUUCAUCGGGACCAGGAGGAUAUAGAUAAUUUUUUGUUGAAAGGGAAACGACCAACACCAGAUAGUAACGUGGCAGGGACUUCAAGGCCAGUUAGACCAAGACAAGAUCUUGCAUCAAAUAUUGGUACUACUCCUCCGCCUCCGGUAGAAAUUAACUUAGAUGCACUUCCUCAUGAUCCAGCUGAUCGAAAAAGAAUAGGGCAGUACACAAAGAAUCCUAAGAAGCAAGAUGAGAUUAGAAUAAUAUAUUUAAAUAGAGGACCUUACAGACCACAAGAAGGCUUUAAAUAUCCUCAGAAAACCAUCGCAGGAGCUGAACAGAGAUUUAGUCCAAAAUGGUUUAAAGACUAUCAUUGGCUAGAGUACAGUGAUAAGGUGCAUAAGGCAUUUUGCUUGUGUUGCUAUCUAUUUAGAGAUUGCAUCGAUGGCCAAGGUGGUAAUGAUGCAUUUGUUGUUAAAGGUUUCUCUUGUUGGAAUAAGAAGCAAAGACUAGAUACUCAUGAGGAUGAAGUUAAUAGCUUUCACAAUGUAGCUGUUAAAAGAUGCGAUGCUUUAAUGAAUCAAAAUCAUUCCAUUAAGGUUGACCUCGACAAGCAAACUGAUAUCACAAAGAAGCAAAACCGCAUUCGGCUGAAUACCUCUGUUGAAUCGCAAAAGAAGGCAAGAAGGAUUCCAAGAAAAGUGAAGCACGUGGCCUUCUAUCAUAUUUUGGAACCUUUGAUUUUGUGUUCUAUUUGCACAUGA